rnacentral:rRNA from 1 species
GUUUGAUUCCUGGCUCAGAUUGAACGCUAGCGGGAUGCCUUACACAUGCAAGUCGAACGGCAGCACGGACUUCGGUCUGGUGGCGAGUGGCGAACGGGUGAGUAAUGUAUCGGAACGUGCCCAGUAGCGGGGGAUAACUACGCGAAAGCGUAGCUAAUACCGCAUACGCCCUACGGGGGAAAGCAGGGGAUCGYAAGACCUUGCACUAUUGGAGCGGCCGAUAUCGGAUUAGCUAGUUGGUGGGGUAACGGCUCACCAAGGCGACGAUCCGUAGCUGGUUUGAGAGGACGACCAGCCACACUGGGACUGAGACACGGCCCAGACUCCUACGGGAGGCAGCAGUGGGGAAUUUUGGACAAUGGGGGAAACCCUGAUCCAGCCAUCCCGCGUGUGCGAUGAAGGCCUUCGGGUUGUAAAGCACUUUUGGCAGGAAAGAAACGUCAUGGGUUAAUACCCCGUGAAACUGACGGUACCUGCAGAAUAAGCACCGGCUAACUACGUGCCAGCAGCCGCGGUAAUACGUAGGGUGCAAGCGUUAAUCGGAAUUACUGGGCGUAAAGCGUGCGCAGGCGGUUCGGAAAGAAAGAUGUGAAAUCCCAGAGCUUAACUUUGGAACUGCAUUUUUAACUACCGGGCUAGAGUGUGUCAGAGGGAGGUGGAAUUCCGCGUGUAGCAGUGAAAUG